ACUACCUAGCCAGGGUCUCUCUGACUGCUCUGCUGCAAUGUGUCUUAAUCUCACACCUGUCUGUCGACGCUGCAGGCAUGAAUCUCUUUGCUUACCCCACAGGGGCGGGUGGCGACUAGCUAUGUAAGAGAGCUUCAAAUGAUUCCUCAUAGGUAUUAAAAUGCAUAGGCUAUCUAGCUAUGGCAAGACAUGAAAAAACACAUGAAGAAAAUGAACAACUUACAUAACCGUAGCAAUUCAAUGGCUGUCGUUUUGACAAGAGGCUCGUGUCAGUCCCCAUUGAAAUAACAACUCUGGAAUAGAUCUCUUCAGUGAGGCAAAGCUAUUUCAGAAAUGCAGCUUAAGAAGCUCUUGAUCCAGGCGUCCUUGAGUUUGGGCUCCUGCUUCAUAAAACAUCCUCCACCAACAAGCAGCGACAGGUCGCCAUGGUGGGGCAUCGUGAGUGUGUGCAAGAGGGAAGGCAUUUCCAUGGUGAUCGGCGGCUGGCUGACCUGCAUUUCAAAUACAAACGCAUGCGUCUAUUCUGAUAUAACCUACAUUUCCUGGGAAAGGAUCCUGGCCUCUUCUACCCUGGAAUCACAAAGCUGUCACUGCAGUCUUCCAUGUUGAAAUUUAGACAAGAGAACAACGCCUCCUUAUGCCUUUCCCUCAGGAAUAAUCUCCGGACUCUCAAUGGCAGAGAUGUUGUCACGGAAACCAGUCUGGCAGCCACUUUAGAACCGUCAACAUGCAUGACAGCUAAUUUUCUACCCUGAAUUUUUUUACUUUUAAAUGAAUUAAAUAGCCAUUGAUUCUCAAAGAAUAUGACAUAAAUGUCUAACAAGCUUAGUUGAACUGUCUUACCCAUCAGAACCCCAACUAUAUGCUUGCUUUAGACAAUUGUUUGUAAACCAAAUCAUUGUAAACAAUGUAUAGCUUCAAAACAUGAUUAAAACUAUGAUUUUGAUCUCUUGUAUAGUCAGUCCUUGCAUCCAUAGCUCCAUCUAUG